UACGUAGGGUGCGAGCGUUAAUCGGAAUACUGGGCGUAAAGCGUGCGCAGGCGGUUUUGUAAGCCAGAUGUGAAAUCCCCGGGCUUAACCUGGGAAUGGCAUUUGGGACUGCAAGGCUUGAGUUUGGCAGAGGAGACUGGAAUUCCUGGUGUAGCAGUGAAAUGCGUAGAUAUCAGGAGGAAUACCGAUGGCGAAGGCAGGUCUCUGGGCUAGAACUGACGCUCAUGCACGAAAGCGUGGGGAGCAAACAGG
rnacentral:rRNA from 1 species